UGUGGGAUAUUAAAGGGGGGAAAAAACAGUCUAGACUACAUAUUUUUACUGACAUAAGCCAUUAAGUGUCAGGAUUCUUAAAGAAUAUUGAAAUGUUAAAGAACAUUUCAUAGACAUCCUUGAUAGAAAAUCUGCAGAUGCCAGCCAGGAUGCCUGUAAAAUCAACCUUCUAGAUGUUCUUUUCUUGUUAUUAAGUGUUUUUACAAACUUAACUACUCUCCUUUUUUUCCCCCUCAAGGAAAAACUUUAGUUGCUUUGCAAUAAUUCAGUUUUAAUUUGAGUUGCCAGUUUUCCAAAUAGUCUAAAUACCAGGAAAAGACAAUGGGAUUGUGAACACCUCCUUACCUCUUCCCUUCCACCCCCCAAAAGAGCCAACAAACCAAACCAAACCCACGUAAUUGUGACAUUUUGUGUUGGCCUUCACACAGCUAUUAUAUUAAACUCUGUAUGCAGUCAUAUUCCUCUUAACUUUUGCAGCACUUUUGCCUGUGAUAGUGGUGGGGACUGGUAGUGGUGGGGACUUGGUGGAGUGCUUGUAGAGAAAAUGCACAUGUAUGAGGGUGAGAUGGCAGCCUGCAAUACUUUACAAAAGGUAAUUUUACCUUUAAAUCAAGGAGGUAGUUACAAGGAAGACAGCAUUAGCUCUGUAUUUAUUUAAAAUGCCUUGGAGAUGAAAGUAGGUAACAAGCUUUUUAAAAAAUUAAGCUCGAUAGAAGAUCAACAUGCCUUAGUAUCUAUGAAGUGAAAAGAACAUUUAAACAAUUGAAGCUUUGUCUUCAGAUAUGUGUGGUGAAUAUUUUCUAUGCAUUGCAGAUGUUAUAUAAACAUAACAUGCUUCCUCCUAAAGUCAAGUUCUUGAUUUUAAUUGAAGAAUAAUAUUGCUCAGGGCUCUACCUCUGAGUACAAAUAGCUAAUCUAAGAAAAUCAGCUCUGGGAAUCUGGAACCAAUGGCUAUUUUAAAAAUAAACAGACAAAAUCUUCAUGAAGAGGACCAGGAGGAUUAUUUUACAUACAGUAUAUCUCCUGAUUCCUCUCUCUGUCUGUCUGUCUGUCUCUCUCUCUCUCUCUCUCACACACACACACACACAUGCACACAAAACUUUUAUGGAAGAACUGAAAGGCAGAAUGACAAUACUGGCCCCUUACCAUAUUUCUACUUAAAAAAAAAAAAAAAAUCAGUCUGGUUGAAGAUUCCCAAGCCAUCUUGCCUAACUUUUCCAGUAUCAAUAUAUCUUAGAAGCAAGUCCAGAUGAAUUUCCUCUUUUUCUUUCUUUCUUUCUAUUUUCUAGGGAAGGGAAAGAGAUGUAAAAAAGGGAAAAGUAGAACUAAA
rnacentral:lncRNA from 10 species